rnacentral:rRNA from 1 species
GACGAACGCUGGCGGCGUGCCUAAUACAUGCAAGUCGAACGCAGUGGGGACGGGGGAGUAACACGUGGGUAACCUCCCAACAGAGGGGAUAACACUUGGAAACAGGUGCUAAACCGAUACUGAUGGAUGGACCCGCGGUGCAUUAGCUAGUUGGUGAGGUAGCGGCUCACCAGGGCCACGAUGCAGAGCAGACCUGGCCGGGCGAUCGGCCACACUGGGAUUGAGACACGGCCCAGACUCCUACGAGAGGCAGCAGGAGGGAAUCUUCGGCAAUGGACGAAAGUCUGACCGAGCAACGGCGCGUGAGUGAAGAAGGUUUUGGGAUCGUAAAACUCUGUUGUUAGAGAAGCGGUAUCUAACCAGAAAGCCCCGGCUAACUACGUGCCAGCCGCCGCGGUAAUUC